rnacentral:lncRNA from 1 species
GUCAGAGUUCAUCUAAAGCAUCUAAUUUUGGUAUUUAGGGUUUUAAAGAAAGGUAACCCUUUCACCCUUGUGCCCAAAAAACUUAUCAAUAUCAUGAAUUUCCUGAAAUCUAUGAGGUUUUUACAAAAAUUUGAAUUGGGGUUUUUCACCCAUUAUUAUUGAAUGCAUUAUCUUGAUAUGUCCCAUGAAUUAAGAGUCUAAUGGCAUGAUUUUUGCAUGUUUUA